AACCUUGGUGGCGCAACGCGUAGCGCGGUCUGACUCCAAAUCAGAAGGCUGCGUGUUCAAUCACGUCAAGGUCA
rnacentral:tRNA from 1 species